rnacentral:snoRNA from 1 species
ACGAAACAUAUUAAUGCCUUCUAUUCACUGUGCCAUCUGAUACACCGUAGAUGAACAGAGGGGAAAAGAACGGCUAGAUGAAAAUUCUAUCCGCGAGCGUACCUCAUACUGAUUAAAGUACUUAACUAUUUUUCAUCAAUUGGCUUUAAUUGGUAGCUGCGUGAGCGGGACAUUC